rnacentral:rRNA from 1 species
UCCUACGGGAGGCAGCAGUGAGGAAUAUUGGUCAAUGGACGCAAGUCUGAACCAGCCAUGCCGCGUGCAGGAUGACGGCUCUACGAGUUGUAAACUGCUUUUGUAUGAGGGUAAUAUCAGGUACGCGUACCUGCUUGAAAGUAUCAUACGAAUAAGGAUCGGCUAACUCCGUGCCAGCAGCCGCGGUAAUACGGAGGAUCCAAGCGUUAUCCGGAUUUAUUGGGUUUAAAGGGUGCGUAGGCGGUUUUAUAAGUUAGAGGUUAAAUGUCAGGGCUCAACUCUGGCCUGCCUCUAAUACUGUAGGACUAGAGAGUAGAUGCGGUAGGCGGAAUGUAUGGUGUAGCGGUGAAAUGUGUAGAGAUCAUACAGAACACCGAUUGCGAAGGCAGCUUACCAAACUAUAUCUGACGUUGAGGCACGAAAGCGUGGGUAGCAAACAGGAUUAGAUACCCUGGUAGUCC